rnacentral:rRNA from 1 species
CCUACGGGCGGCUGCAGUGGGGAAUAUUGCACAAUGGGGGAAACCCUGAUGCAGCGACGCCGCGUGAGUGAAGAAGUAUUUCGGUAUGUACAGCUCUGUCAGCAGGGAAGAAGAUGGCGGUACCUGACCAAGAAGCCCCGGCUAACUACGGGCCAGCCGCCCCGGUAAUACGUAGGGGGCAAGCGUUAUCCGGCUUUACUGGGUGUAAAGGGGGCGCAGACGGCAAUGCAAGCCAGGAGUGAAAGCCCGGGGCCCAACCCCGGGACUGCUCUUGAAACUGCAUGGCUGGAGUACUGGAGGGGCAGGCGGAAUUCCUAGUGUAGCGGUGAAAUGCGUAGAUAUUAGGAGGAACACCGGUGGCGAAGGCGGCCUGCUGGACUGUGACUGACGUUGAGGCCCGAAGGCGUGGGGAGCAAACAGGAUUAGAUACCCGGGUAGUC